rnacentral:rRNA from 1 species
AUUGAACGCUGGCGGAAUGCUUUACACAUGCAAGUCGAACGGUAGAGGGGGCAACCCCUCGAGAGUGGCGAACGGGUGAGUAAUAUAUCGGAACGUGCCCAGUCGUGGGGGAUAACGUAGCGAAAGUUACGCUAAUACCGCAUACGAUCUAAGGAUGAAAGCGGGGGAUCGCAAGACCUCGCGCGAUUGGAGCGGCCGAUAUCAGAUUAGGUAGUUGGUGGGGUAAAGGCUCACCAAGCCAACGAUGUGUAGCUGGUCUGAGAGGACGACCAGCCACACUGGAACUGAGACACGGUCCAGACUCCUACGGGAGGCAGCAGCGGGGAAUUUUGGACAAUGGACGCAAGUCUGAUCCAGCCAUUCCGCGUGCAGGAUGAAGGCCCUCGGGUUGUAAACUGCUUUUGUACGGAACGAAAAGGUCUCUCUUAAUACGGGGGACUCAUGACGGUACCGUAAGAAUAAGCACCGGCUAACUACGUGCCAGCAGCCGCGGUAA